UCUUCCUCAGCUUUUAACUAACCCUCAAUCACUCUCUCCUCUGAUUCUUAAAGACGCCAUCAUGCCCAGAGGAUGUACAACGGAAAUAUCUCGCCUCUAUCUCGGUUUCCUUUUGUUUGAAGAAUAUGAAAAGAUAAUCGAAGAAAAACACAAAGGAAUACAAUUAAUUUUCUCGAGUGAUAAAUGUAAUUAACGAAACGUAAAUUUAAACUGAACGUGAAUCUAAUAAAUCAGGUUAGUUCAAUGAUGAAAGUUAACCAAACAUAG